AGAAAUACUAAAAUCGAAAUGGAUAGCCACAGUUGCCAGCAUAUGGAUCCAGUGCAGCUGCGGUGCAUCCUACACCUUUGGCAUCUACUCUUCCAUCCUCAAGUCCACCCAAGGUUACGACCAAUCAACCCUCGACNNNNNNGAGCCAACGCCGGUGUCCUCUCUGGCCUUCUCUAUUCCGCCGUCACCCUCCACCGCAACCACCGCCGUCUCGGAUUCUUUAGCGGGCCAUGGCUGGGCCAUGCGGCGGGGGGGGGCCCNAAUGUUUCAUUGGGUAUUUCGUGAUUUGGGCUUCCGUGAAUGGGUUGAUUCCCCGGCUGCCGGUGCCGCUUAUGUGUUUGUUCAUGUGGGUGGCGGCUCACGCGCAGACGUUCUUCAAC
rnacentral:misc_RNA from 1 species